UACACGCUGUGACUAGCAUAUCAAUAAGCGGAGGAAAAGAAACUAACAAGGAUUCCCUUAGUAACGGCGAGUGAAGCGGGAAGAGCUCAAAUUUGAAAUCUUGAAAGGUCACCUUUCACGAAUUGUAGUUUAAAGAAGUGUUUUCUGUUACGAUCGUAAUAUAAGUUCUUUGGAAUAGGACAUCACAGAGGGUGAGAAUCCCGUCUAUGAUUGCGAUUUGUAGCUUUGUGAUACACUUUCAAAGAGUCGGGUUGUUUGGGAAUGCAGCCCAAAACGGGAGGUAAAUUUCUUCUAAGGCUAAAUAUUGGCGAGAGACCGAUAGCGAACAAGUACCGUGAGGGGAAGAUGAAAAGAACUUUGAAAAGAGAGUUAAAUAGUACGUGAAAUUGUCAAAAGGGAAGCGUUUAACACCAGUGUUGUUUUCUGAAAAUCAACCUCUGUUAGCUUUAUGCAUGUUUGUUUAGACCUAAUCAGCUAUCUUUCAUGUUCUAUUGUUUGCAGUGGUGCACUUUUCAGUUUACAGGUCAACAUCAGUUUUUUUUACCGUAAAAAAGUUAAAGAAAGGUAGCUCAUGGCUCCGGUCGUGAGUGUUAUAGUCUUUUUCCUAUGCGGUAGGAGAGACUGAGGUCUGCAGUGUAGGCUAUUUGGCUAGAUACUCAGGUGCUAUGUGAUACCAUUUCAUAAACAACUUGUUGAUUAUGUUUUGUCUAUUGCAUACUCGCUUGUACUAUCAUACCUACGCUUAGGAUGUUGAGUAGCGACAUACGCAC
rnacentral:rRNA from 1 species